rnacentral:rRNA from 1 species
CGUGUAGGCGGGAAGGUAAGUCGGGCGUGAAAUCCCUGGGCUCAACCCAGGAACUGCACUCGAAACUACUUUUCUUGAGUGCCGGAGAGGAAAGCGGAAUUCCUGGUGUAGAGGUGAAAUUCGUAGAUAUCAGGAGGAACACCAGUGGCGAAGGCGGCUUUCUGGACGGUAACUGACGCUGAGACGCGAAAGCGUGGGGAGCAAACA